AGUUCUAAUACUGGAGCUGGAGGCAGGCAGCUCUGCUGAGCUUGACAAUAGGCAUCAGGAAAAACUGUGAACUGAGAAGCAUGCUUCAGAUUCAAGGUUCUGGGAAGUCGAGAUUACAUCCCUAAAGAUGAUCCACACUCAACUUUGCACUGGAAUAUCUGGAGUGAUGCCAACAAGAUGAUGGAGUAGAAGACAGAGCCUUCAUUCUGUCCCCCUGCAAAGUAACAAUUAAUUAGACAGAUAUCAAUGAAUGAAAUACUAAGAGGGCAAAAUAAUCCAAUUAAAAACCUUCAGCAUCACCAUGGAACAAGGAAACAUGGACAAAAUCUG